AUACUUACCACUAUACUACAACGACUUUGAU
rnacentral:sRNA from 1 species